CCUACGGGAGGCUGCAGUGGGGGAUAUUGCACAAUGGGGGGAACCCUGAUGCAGCGACGCCGCGUGGGUGAAGAAGCGCCUCGGCGCGUAAAGCCCUGUCAGCAGGGAAGAAAAUGACGGUACCUGAAGAAGAAGCCCCGGCUAACUACGUGCCAGCAUCCGCGGUAAUACGUAGGGGGCAAGCGUGAUCCGGAUUUACGGGGUGUAAAGGGGGCGCAGGCGGCGAUGCAAGCCAGGAGUGAAAGCCCGGGGGCCAACCCCGGGACUGCUCUUGGAACUGCGUGGCUGGAGUGCAGGAGGGGCAGGCGGAAUUCCUGGUGUAGCGGUGAAAUGCGUAGAUAUCAGGAGGAACACCGGUGGCGAAGGCGGCCUGCUGGACUGCAACUGACGUUGAGGCCCGAAAGCGUGGGGAGCAAACAGGAUUAGAUACCCGGGUAGUC
rnacentral:rRNA from 1 species